AGCGUAGAUGACAAGCUUGAAGCAGUCAAGCAGAACUGAUAAAACUGGGUGAAUCGUGGACAAUGCUGCAUUAUGAAGGAGUGUAGUGAGAGAGACCUGCUCUACCUCUCACCCAGAGAGAGACCUGCUCUACCUCCUCACCCAGAGAGACCUGCUCUACCUCUCACCCAGAGAGAGACUGCUCUACCUCCUCACCCAGAGAGACCUGCUCUACUCCUCACCCAGAGAGGACCUGCUCUACCUCCUCACCCAGAGAGAGACUGCUUACCUCCUCACGCAGAGAGAGACUGCUCUAACUCCUCGCCCAGAGAGAGACCUGCUCUACCUCCCUACCCAGAGAGACCUGCUCUACCCCCUCCUCAACAGCAGACCUGCUCUACCUCCUCACCCAGAGACCUGCUCUACCCCCUCACCCAGAGAGAGAGACCUGCUCUACCGCCUCACCCAGAGAGAGCGACUGCUCUACCUCCUCACCCAGAGAGAGAGACUGCUCUACCUCCUCACCCAGAGACCGCUCUACCUCCUCACCAGAGGACUGCUCUACCCCCCUCACCCAGAGACCUGCUCUACCCCCUCACCCAGAGCCUGCUCUACCCCCUACCCAGAGACCUGCUCUACCCCCUCACCCAGAGACCUGCUCUACCUCCUCACCCAGAGACCUGCCUACUCCACCGAGAGACCGCUACCGCCUCACCCAGGAGAGACCUGCUCUACCGCCUCACCCAGAGAGAGGCCUGCUCCACUCCUCACCCAGAGAGAGAGACCUGCUCUACCGCCUCAUCCGAGAGAGAGAGACUGCUCUACCGCCUACCAGAGAGAGAGACCUGCUCUACCUCAUCACCCAGAGACCUGCUCUACCUCUCACCCAGAGACCUGCUCUACCUCUCACCCAGAGACCUGCUCUACUCUCACCCAGAGACCUGCUCUACCUCUCACCCAGAGACCUGCUCUACCUCUCACCAGAGACCUGCUUCUACCUCACCCCAGGACUGCUCUACCUCUCACCAGGACCUGCUCUACCUCAUCCCCCAGAGACCUGCUCUACCUCAUCACCCAGAGACUGCUCUACCUCAUCACCCAGAGACUGCUCCCACUCCUCACCCAGAGACCUGCUCUACCUCCUCACCCAGAGACUCCUCCACCUCCUCACCCGAGACCUGCUCUACCUCCUCACCCAGAGACCUGCUUACUCCUCACCCAGAGAGACCUGCUCUACCUCCUCACCCAGAGAGAGACCUGCUCUACCUCUCACCAGAGAGACCUGCUCUACCUCCUCACCCAGAGAGAGACCUGCUCUACCUCCUCACCCAGAGAGAGACCUGCUCUACCUCCUCACCCAGAGAGAGGACCUGCUCUACCUCCUCACCCAGAGAGAGACCUGCUCUACCUCCUCACCCAGAGAGGAGACCUGCUCUACCUCCUCACCCAGAGAGAGACCUGCUCUACCUCCUCACCCAGAGAGAGAGACCUGCUCUACCUCCUCACCCGGAGAGAGAGACCUGCUCUACCUCCUCACCCAGAGAGAGACCUGCUCUACCGCCUCAUCCAGAGAGAGACCUGCUUACCGCCUCACCCAGAGAGAGAGACCUGCCUACCGCCUCAUCCAGAGAGAGAGACUGCUCUACCGCCUCAUCCAGAAGGAGAGACCUGCUCUACGCCUCACCCAGAGAGAGAGACCUGCUCUACCUCAUCACCCAGAGACAUGCUCUACCUCUCACCAGAGACCUGCUCUACCCUCUCACCCAGAGACCUGCUCACCUCUCACCCAGC
ensembl:lncRNA